UACGUAGGGUGCGAGCGUUAAUCGGAAUUACUGGGCGUAAAGCGUGCGCAGGCGGUUUUGUAAGCCAGAUGUGAAAUCCCCGGGCUUAACCUGGGAAUGGCAUUUGGGACUGCAAGGCUUGAGUGCGGCAGAGGAGACUGGAAUUCCUGGUGUAGCAGUGAAAUGCGUAGAUAUCGUGAGGAACACCAGAGGCGAAGGCGGUUUCCUGGACAGUUACUGACGCUCAGGCACGAAAGCAUGGGGAGCAAAAGGG
rnacentral:rRNA from 1 species